UACGUAGGGUGCAAGCGUUGUCCGGAAUUAUUGGGCGUAAAGAGCUCGUAGGCGGUCUGUCGCGUCUGCUGUGAAAACUCAGGGCUUAACCCUGAGCUUGCAGUGGGUACGGGCAGACUAGAGUGCGGUAGGGGAGACUGGAAUUCCUGGUGUAGCGGUGAAAUGCGCAGAUAUCAGGAGGAACACCGGUGGCGAAGGCGGGGUCUCUGGGCCGUAACUGACGCUGGAGAACACGAAAGCGUGGGUAGCAAACAGG
rnacentral:rRNA from 1 species